rnacentral:lncRNA from 1 species
CAAUAUUUAAGUGCUCUCAGUAUUUACAGACUGGUGUGAUCCAUGAAAUUUUCCUAGGAGAUUCUACAAAGCUGAAUUGGUAUCAUCAGGCAGCAGCAGCAGCAGCAACAACAGCAACAACUAUUAUUAUCAUUAUUUCUGUGUACUGACUUCAGGAAGAGAAAAAUCUCCUUUGGCUAGACGCUUAAAAACAAAAAUUGCUGAACUGUGGGCAG